rnacentral:rRNA from 1 species
GAAGCCCCGAGCGUUGUUCGGAUUCAUUGGGCGUAAAGGGUGCGUAGGCGGCGCGGAAAGUCCGGCGUGAAAGGCAGGGGCUCAACCUCUGGACUGCGUUGGAUACUUCCGUGCUUGAGGACUGGAGGGGAGACUGGAAUUCACGGUGUAGCAGUGAAAUGCGUAGAUAUCGUGAGGAAGACCGGUGGCGAAGGCGAGUCUCUGGACAGAUCCUGACGCUGAGGCACGAAGGCUGGGGGAGCGAACAGGAUUAGAUACCCUGGUAGUCCCAGCAGUAAACGAUGUGAGCUUGAUGUGGGGGGAUCCGACCCCUUCCGUGUCGAAGCUAACGCGAUAAGCUCACCGCCUGAGGAGUACGGCCGCAAGGCUAAAACUCAAAGAAAUUGACGGGGACCCGCACAAGCGGUGGAGUAUGUGGCUUAAUUCGAUGCAACGCGAAGAACCUUACCUGGCCUUGACAUGCAUUGUGUCGUCGGUGAAAGCCGGCUAGUCCUGGAAACAGGACGCUUUGCACAGGUGCUGCAUGGCUGUCGUCAGCUCGUGUCGUGAGAUGUUGGGUUAAGUCCCGCAACGAGCGCAACCCUUGUGGUCAGUUACUAACCGGCUUAGCCGGAGGACUCUGGCCAGACUGCCCUGUCAAACGGGGAGGAAGGUGGGGACGACGUCAAGUCAGUAUGGCCCUUAUGGCCAGGGCUGCACACGUACUACAAUGCCCGGUACAAUGUGAACCGAAACCGCGAGGUGGAGGAAAUCGCUCUUGAAAACCGGGCCCAGUUCGGAUUGGAGUCUGCAACUCGACUCCAUGAAGUCGGAAUCGCUAGUAAUGGCG